GCAUCUGUGGCCGAGUGGCCGAAGGCAGCGGACUCAUCAAAAAAAGAAAAUAAUGAGCUUUCAAGAGUUUAUUUAUUUAAUAAUUAU
rnacentral:tRNA from 1 species